AAAAGAGAGAAACCUUCAUGAACACUUAAUCUUCAAAGCUUGAUUUCUUCUGAACUAAAACUCAAAUCAAAACUCCGAUUUCACCAAAAUGAUCCUCUCUUCUUUCUCUACAUAACCAUAUAACAUAUCAAGGCUGGAAAUAAGGAAUCAUGCUUAACUUGACUUGAGGGCCAAGAAACGUGAAUUUCCAGCAAGUCUAAGGAGGAAAAAGUGCUUAAGGACCACCUGAAAGUUUGAUUGAAUUAGGAGCAGCAAAACCAGAUGGAAGCAUGAGUACCCUUCCGUAGUUCGCUGAUGACCGUUCGUAAAGAGAAUUCCGCUCUAGGUAGUCUUCUGAGUCUAGGGUGAAUCUCUUUAUCUAUGUAUAUGUAUAUACUGUGAGACCAGCCAACGUCUGCACCCCGUUCGUAUGCGCACUUUAACCUGAAUCCUGUGUACGAGACUCCCGCUG